rnacentral:rRNA from 1 species
AUUGAACGCUGGCGGCAGGCCUAACACAUGCAAGUCGAACGAGUGGCGGACGGGUGAGUAAUGUCUGGGAAACUGCCUAAUGGGGGGGGAUAACUACUGAAUACGGUAGCUAAUACCGCAUACGAUCGGAUGGGCCCAGAUGGGAUUAGCUAGUAGGUGGGGUAAAGGCACACCUAGGCCACGAUCCCUAGCUGGUCUGAGAGGAUGACCAUCCACCUUGGAACUGAGACACGGUCCAGACUCCUCCGGGAGGCAGCAGUGGGGAAUAUUGCACAAUGGGCGCAAGCCUGAUGCAGCCAUGCCGCGUGUAUUAAGCAGGCCUUCGGGUUGUAAAGUACUUUCAGCGGGGAGGCGUUACCCGCAGAAGAAGCACCGGCUAACUCCGUGCCAGCAGCCGCGGUAAUAC